CCUACGGGUGGCUGCAGUGAGGAAUAUUGGUCAAUGGGCGCGAGCCUGAACCAGCCAAGUCGCGUGAAGGAUGACUGCCCUACGGGUUGUAAACUUCUUUUAUAAAGGAAUAAAGUGAGGCACGUGUGCCUUUUUGUGUGUACCUUAUGAAUAAGGAUCGGCUAACUCCGUGCCAGCAGCCGCGGUAAUACGGAGGAUCCGAGCGUUAUCCGGAUUUAUUGGGUUUAAAGGGAGCGUAGAUGGGUUGUUAAGUCAGUUGUGAAAGUUUGUGGCUCAACCGUAAAAUUGCAAUUGAUACUGGCAGCCUUGAGUACAGUUGAGGUAGGCGGAAUUCGUGGUGUAGCGGUGAAAUGCAUAGAUAUCACGAAGAACUCCGAUUGCGAAGGCAGCUUACUAAACUGCCACUGACAUUGAUGCACGAAAGUGUGGGUAUCAAACAGGAUUAGAUACCCGAGUAGUC
rnacentral:rRNA from 1 species